UGGGGGAAACCCUGACGCAGCAACGCCGCGUGGAGGACGAAGGUUUUCGGAUUGUAAACUCCUGUCCUCUGGGACGAUAAUGACGGUACCAGAGGAGGAAGCCACGGCUAACUACGUGCCAGCAGCCGCGGUAAUACGUAGGUGGCAAGCGUUGUCCGGAAUUACUGGGCGUAAAGGGCGUGUAGGCGGUACCCUAAGUCAGAUGUGAAAACCCGGAGCUUAACUUCGGAACUGCAUUUGAAACUGGGGAACUCGAGUGUCGGAGAGGAAAGCGGAAUUCCUAGUGUAGCGGUGAAAUGCGUAGAUAUUAGGAGGAACACCAGUGGCGAAGGCGGCUUUCUGGACGAUAACUGACGCUGAGGCGCGAAAGCGUGGGGAGCAAACAGGAUUAGAUACCCUGGUAGUCCACGCUGUAAACGAUGGAUACUAGGUGUGGGAGGUAUCGAACCCUUCCGUGCCGCAGUAAACGCAAUAAGUAUCCCGCCUGGGGAGUACG
rnacentral:rRNA from 1 species